AAAAACCACAAAAAUCAGUCCAUAGAUGCAAUGGUGCUUUCUUCAGAAACAUGUAGUAGAAAAUAAAAUAAUGUGUCAGUUCAGAAACAAUUUGAAAUCCAGCAGGUUUAGAAUAAAGCAAAAUGUAAAAGAAGAAGAAAAUAUCACUAUCACAAAGUACUUUUUGUUUUUCAAACAAGUUGAAUCAAAUACUGAAGUCCUGUGGAUAGUCGAAUUAAUUAAACACACUUUUUUCUUCUUUGCAUGGUCAACAAGUGGUGAAUGAAAAUGUUUAAAAAUCGGAAUUACUAAAAUCAAAACUCUCUAAAAUUGUCAGGAAAUGGUUCCAAAAACAAUGUCUGUUUUUCUUCCUGUGAUACCAUCUGUGGUACAAGAUGAGUAGACAGCUGUGGAGAAAAGGCUGAUGUUGUAUUUCUCUGGAAGGGACUUUGACAUUGGAUUUGUUCUAAAAAACGCCUUGAACUUCACAUGUAACACAUUUUGUGUUCAGUACCUGUUUCUGAAAAAUCCGACCAAUGACUGUCAUGCACGGACACAGAUGUCACCAACUGACCAUCACCAAUAUCACCGACUGAGCUGCCUGACAGUAAUAAAGCCACAAUUUAUUUUAACACUCAUACAUUAAAAAAAAGUAUACCUGGAAGUAUUAAUGCUGUUUGUAUGUACAUUGUUUUGACUAACUGUCAGCCAGAAGGAUCAUGAACACACCAGAGGACUGAUGCACAUUCAGUGAUAUCACAUAGAUAUGUUCAUUUCUAUCCAACUGGAACGGUGUGAAACAGCACUAAGUUGUACAGACGACUGUCACCGAGGGAAACAUGGACUCAGUGUAUUUCUCCAGAGGUUGAGUGUGUGCAGAUGUGCAUGAUAGACUGACAACUUGUACUGCUGUUCUUCUACGUGGACGGAAUCAUUUUAGUCAACGAAAUACUCCUGUGAGUGUUGAAGAAGGUCGAUCAUUUGUCACAAAAUAAUAGACAGUAUUGUUUUGGUUUUUUUUUUUGUUUUGAAAUCAUUGCACAUUUCUCAUUUUAUAUUGAAUUUAGUGAAAAAGGCAAAUGUUUCCUUUUUUUAUUUAUGGCAUAAUUUAAGCUGUUUGACUUUAAUUUGGUUUGAUUUUAUGCUCCAUUUAAUGUUUGUGUGGUUUUGUAAUGACAUGAUUAUGAUUGUGAGCAUCAUCUAGCUAAAGAACUGUGUUUGAUGACUUUGCAAGACUUGUGCUGGUGUGGAUGAGGAUGGAUGACUGGGAUGAGAGAAAAACAAUAUCUCCCUCAAGUGUUAUUCUAUGUCCUUAAAAGCUGUGAGAAAUUUACCAAAUGUCCAUAUAGAUUUGUGUUUAAAUUUCAGUUUGUGAUGUGUUCCCUCGCUCUAGAAUGUUUUACUUUUAAGAUAUCAUAUGACUUUUCUUUACACACUCAACUCUAUGAUAUCUGUAGUUCUUAGUUCCUCAAAGCCAUGUCAGAGGGUGGGCGGCGGGGGGGCAGUAUUUCUCGGUGUAUUUGGCAAACCAGUCUGCAGAACAGUUUUUUUGUUUUUUUUUUACCCUGUGUCUAUGUUAUUUCACUGAAUCGGAGAUGAAGAACCCCAUUUAAAAGGGACACUUGUAUAUUUUGUAAACUUGAAAAUUUGAUCCCCAUUUAUCAAUCAUAUGUAAAAAGAAAAAUGUAACGCACUCUUGUCUGGCCUUUGUCGCAUGUGAAAUAGUUUGAGUUUUGUAUAUUUAUGGUAUUAACAUGAAUUAAAAUUUGAAACAAAUGCA